rnacentral:rRNA from 1 species
UGCAGUCGACGAUGAAGCCCUUCGGGGUGGAUUAGUGGCGAACGGGUGAGUAACACGUGGGCAAUCUGCCCUUCACUCUGGGACAAGCCCUGGAAACGGGGUCUAAUACCGGAUAACACCGGCCUCCGCAUGGAGGCUGGUUGAAAGCUCCGGCGGUGAAGGAUGAGCCCGCGGCCUAUCAGCUUGUUGGUGGGGUAAUGGCCUACCAAGGCGACGACGGGUAGCCGGCCUGAGAGGGCGACCGGCCACACUGGGACUGAGACACGGCCCAGACUCCUACGGGAGGCAGCAGUGGGGAAUAUUGCACAAUGGGCGAAAGCCUGAUGCAGCGACGCCGCGUGAGGGAUGACGGCCUUCGGGUUGUAAACCUCUUUCAGCAGGGAAGAAGCGAAAGUGACGGUACCUGCAGAAGAAGCGCCGGCUAACUACGUGCCAGCAGCCGCGGUAAUACGUAGGGCGCAAGCGUUGUCCGGAAUUAUUGGGCGUAAAGAGCUCGUAGGCGGCUUGUCACGUCGGGUGUGAAAGCCCGGGGCUUAACCCCGGGUCUGCAUCCGAUACGGGCAGGCUAGAGUGUGGUAGGGGAGAUCGGAAUUCCUGGUGUAGCGGUGAAAUGCGCAGAUAUCAGGAGGAACACCGGUGGCGAAGGCGGAUCUCUGGGCCAUUACUGACGCUGAGGAGCGAAAGCGUGGGGAGCGAACAGGAUUAGAUACCCUGGUAGUCCACGCCGUAAACGUUGGGAACUAGGUGUUGGCGACAUUCCACGGUCGUCGGGUGCCGCAGCUAACGCAUUAAGUUCCCCCGCCUGGGGGAGUACGGGCCGCAAAGGUAAAAACUCCAAAGGAAUUUGAC